CCGCGGAGCCAUCGGCAGACGCCGCGGCCUCCCUUGAGCCCCGACCCCCGUCGUCAGAACAACCCCGGGCCCACUCCCCCAACCCCACUUCCGCUUCGCGCCGCUAUCGCGAUAGCGCCCGGGCCCGGGGCGCGAGAAAAAGGCGGCGGGCGCUCGCCUCCCCCGCCUGUCGCGAUACGCUCCUCAGCGGCGGCGCCAGCUCCUGUGGUGAGAGCGUCAGGCUCGACUGGGCCGGACCCCUUCCCUUCCUCCCCCCGGCGCCAUCGGCCGCCCUCCCCGCCGCCUCCCGCCCUGGCGACACCGCCGUCUGUCGCGACAUGGCCUCCCCUCGCCUGCCCCCUGCCGCCGCCUCUGCAGCGCGGGGCUCCCGGCGGGGGGCGGCUCCCUCCCUCUCGCCCUCCCGUUCCUGCGCCUCUUUCACGUUCCUCAGCGCCUCCCGGGGGUCCUUCCGCGACCCGGACCCCGGGCCCCGCCCGCCGCCGCCUCCCCGCGUGGCAUCGCGUCGGGCCCCCCGGUAGGGGUGUGAGGGUGCGAAGCCUCCCGGGCGCGAGGUGCCCGCCCCUCUCCGCGUCGGUAUUGGCUCCUGGCUGGAAGGAUGGAGGCGCCCCUGGUCCCAGCGUCCGUCUCCAAGAGAGUAUGAAGAGAGUGCGUCUGUAGGGCAGGGAAGAUGGCGGACAAGCGCAAACUCCAAGGUGAGAUUGAUCGCUGCCUCAAGAAGGUGUCCGAGGGCGUGGAGCAGUUUGAAGAUAUUUGGCAGAAGCUCCACAAUGCAGCCAACGCGAACCAGAAAGAAAAGUAUGAG
rnacentral:lncRNA from 1 species